GGGCGAAUGGUCUAGGGGUAUGAUACUCCCUUCGCAUUGAUGACUCUCCGGAGUCACAAGUGUCUGGGAGGGGUCCGGGGUUCAAUUCCCCGUUCGUCCA